rnacentral:rRNA from 1 species
UGGGGAAUCUUCGGCAAUGGGCGCAAGCCUGACCGAGCCAUGCCGCGUGAGCGAUGAAGGCCUUAGGGUUGUAAAGCUCUUUCGCCAGGGAUGAUAAUGACAGUACCUGGUAAAGAAACCCCGGCUAACUCCGUGCCAGCAGCCGCGGUAAUACGGAGGGGGUUAGCGUUGUUCGGAAUUACUGGGCGUAAAGCGCGCGUAGGCGGAUUGGAAAGUUGGGGGUGAAAUCCCAGGGCUCAACCCUGGAACUGCCUUCAAAACUCCCAGUCUUGAGUUCGAGAGAGGUGAGUGGAACUCCGAGUGUAGAGGUGAAAUUCGUAGAUAUUCGGAAGAACACCAGUGGCGAAGGCGGCUCACUGGCUCGAUACUGACGCUGAGGUGCGAAAGUGUGGGGAGCAAACAGGAUUAGAUACCCUGGUAGUCCACACCGUAAACGAUGAAUGCCAGUCGUCGGAUAGCAUGCUAUUCGGUGACACACCUAACGGAUUAAGCAUUCCGCCUGGGGAGUACGGUCGCAAGAUUA